CAGCUCCAAAGGAUUUCUUCUCUUCUUCAUGGGGAGGCUGAAGAAUCAGAAUUGUCUUUGCAGAGAAAGGAAAUACAUGCUUAGAAACAAAAGGCAGCCAGCAUUCAGGAAGCAGUCUGAGGUCUGUGCAGGUUAGUUUAUUUCCAGGACUGGGAUAUGCCUAAACUUUGAAUUGAAUAACUCUACCACAGCAAGGUAGAGUUGGGACCUUUUCCUCCUGGGUACCAGAGAAAAUGGGAUGAGCAUUGCACAGGCUGGCACAGAGAAGGAGAAACAGCAAGGAAGGAGGAGACCCAGGACCUUUCUUCAUGACAGCAAUUAAGUUCCUGAAGAUGACCACACAUCUAAGUCAUGGCAGUGGCCAAAUGAGAAUGGAAGCUGUGGUGUUGGAGAGGCAACCACUCUUCAAUCCUCUCUAUUCAUACCAUACUGAAGUCAUAUACUUUCAUGAGUGCAUCACUCACCUCUUACAUUUCCUGAGAUUCAAGUUCAGAUAACUCUAAAAGACUUGAGAAUUCUGAACAAUACAAUGACAAAACAUGAUUUCAGAGGACCAGAGAU